ensembl:lncRNA
AGUAUGUCACGGAGUGACUUUGUAAGGGCGGAACUAAAAAAUGACGGAGAUUGGUUCCGCCCGGACCAUAAUUCUCAAACACCGGGAACUCCGGGAAGGGAAAUUAGGGUUUUAUUGAUCGCAGGUGGAUAGAUGAACGGGGCGAUCGUGGAUUGGGCAGUAUGAAGAGAAGGAGGAGUAUAAAGAGGGCCUCAGAAACUGCAGAGGAGGAGGGGAGUUCUUUGUUUUAUGUGAGCUGAUACGGCGACCCGGACCCUGCGUGAGUUGGAGGGUUCGGGGGAGUACAGUGGAAAGAAGGCAGAGGAUAUUGUUGGCUGGGCAAAGACGGAGACAAGGGUUUGGCAGAAACAGAAACCGGGCUGAGUAUAUUGGGAUGUCUACUUAACUGUGAAAUGCUCCAUGGAUAUGUGUAACAAAUUCGGAGUGGUUGAAAACAGGAAGACUCACCGGAAGUAUCGCCGAAGGAGGCCUUUUCGACAGGGCACGUGGCAGCAGGAGAAGUAUCCAGGAGCUGGAAAGAAGAGGGAAAAGAGACCUCGUGUUAGUAACGGUGUGAGUACCCUAAACCAUCGUACAGCAGUAUAAUCAUCUAGAGUGAACCAUCUGUGAGUGUUUUGUGAGUUGUGGCAUAGUAUGUGAGCGGCCCCACUGGGGAGGAGGAUUGUGGGUGAGCCGGGACCAGUGAGCGAGAGAGGAUGUUGGGUUGUUGUGGCGGCAACGUUUAAAUCUGAAUAUUCGUGGCAUCAGUGUCUUCACGACUUCCAGGACGAGUCUUUGGUCAGACGGGGUUUUGACCCUAAAUUCACCAAGAGUGUGUGGAGUGCAGUGGGUGAGUCUUUGUCCUUUGCUGUGAGUGUAUACACUUGGAAAUUGCAGUGUUGUGCUGUGUUGUGUCGUCAACAACCACCUUUCAGGCCCGACGAAAUCCUGUGAAGGAAGCGAGUACCGAGGCGGGCGAAGAAAACAUCUCCAAUUAUAUGCCGUCAAAUGACAUCCUGACCCUUCUUCCCCACGUGACGGUGGUGGGAAACCAUUUCAAAUCUAGCGGGUCCCUUUGAAGCGUCUACCUGCAUGUCGACUCGUCACUCAGGAUACAGAGACCGUGGAAACCCCCUCCCGUACACUUACCAGUACGGUUUUAGUUGGAUCCCGGCAGCCCUUGGGCAGUUCCCCCAGCAUCUGGACGACCGGGAGUAUAAUCCGCUGGGUCGCCUUGGAGUUCGUCAAAAGUAGCAGCAGGUAUCCAUUGUGCAUCCAAACUCUCAAUACUUACCACUUGUAUCUGUUACGUCCAGGAAAGGAGAGGGCCCUGGACAGUCGUCCUGCAAGCCAGAACAAAGGGG